rnacentral:lncRNA from 1 species
CGAAGGCGGAGACGCCUCCUCCUCUACGGUUCUCACUCCUCUCCUCCGUGACCUCUCUGUCCAUGGCCGCCACGAGGAAGCUCGGCAGCUCGCCGGCGGCGGCGGCGGCGAAUGGGAAGGCGUAGGCGAAGGAAGACGACGAGGAGGGGCUCUUCUCCUCGCGCUCCUUCGCCGACCUCGGCCUCCACCCCACCCUCUGCGCCCUUCUCCAAGGUCCCUCCCCCUCUCCGAUUCCCCGUAUUUCUGUGGCCCUAGUGAUUUGGUAGUCCCCUCGGGAACCAGGAUCUCACGUCUUUUCUGAGAAAAAUAUGUACAUAUGAUUUUCAAAUUUCUAAUCUGGAUGGUUAAAAUGAUGUUCGUAGUUAAAUUUUUAAAAGUUUGACUCGAGGCAUGUCCAAAACUCCACUUUUUUGUGAUAUGGAGAGAGUUUGGAUUCGUGCAUAGGAACCUUGUUUAUAUUAAGUACAAUUGCUUCAAAUAAGAAAUGAGAAUCCUCUGAUCGUCCAUAUCGCCAGUUUUGAGGGAUGGGCAGUGCAAUAUUCUACUGUAAUUUACAGCGAAUCCAGUGCCCAGGUAUGGUAUUUCCACUAAUCGCAUGUCUUGUAGGCCCAAUACAAUAACCAAGUACACAUAGCUAAAAGAACGCCAGAUUCACUUACGGAACCCUUUGUUCAGAAAUUAAAUGGAGCGACAGAAGCAAAGUGUUGCACAGUUGCCUUUUGCUGCAUAUAUGGUCGCGUAGUUGCGCAGUUGGACCAAAUCAAAGCAUGUUGAAUAUCAACACUCAAAUCACCAUCCCAUCUUGUUCCAAGAUAUACUAGCAUAAAGUAGCGUUGCGUUGAGAAUCAUGCAAGUAGCUACAGAGGCGCUAAGUUGCCGAUAUGUUUGUGCACUUGAAAAACUGUUUGAAUCUUACUGAUCAUCAUAUGUUUCAUCAGGUUUCCAUUUAGAUAUAGCAUACAUCACUCUCCCUUUCCAUCCUUGUAGCAGCCAGCCGCAAUCUUCAACAGCAAAGAAUUCUUCAUGAUAAUGUAAGUUCUUCAUGUGUACUAUGUUCUUUAAGAUGGCCUGAUCCACGGGAAGCUGCUGGAACCCAGCCUUGAGGAACCUUCCUUGCCACUGCCUGUAACUCUCUGGCCUCUGAGUCCUUUCUGCAUCCUCACAUGCUAUUAUGUUAAGUGCAUCCCGCCCAAAUGGGAUCCUCUCAAGCAUCUUUCUUGCUUCACUAUCCCGUGGAAUAUUUGCAUCAAGCAUGUCAAACACUGAAGAGUAAUGGAGCAUAACUUCUUUGAAUCGUUGUAUGAAGAAGGGAGAACUAUGUAACACGUUCACAGUGCCAGAAAUGAAAACCUUUGGGUUCAUCCUCCUCAUAGUUUUCAGCACCUCGUCCCUUGCACUAUUUAUGCCAUCGGUUUCAUGACCAAGAUUCUUCAUCCGGAAUAUGCAGUUGAUUAUGAGAACUUCAUCCUCGUCAAUGUUAAGAUCCUCAAUUUUAACGCUGUCCCAUCUUGAAGCAGCAAUGCCCUGAUACUGAAAAGGUACCCUAAACAUGUUUGCAUAAUCAGCCAACCGCUUCCCUGUCUCCUCGAUCAUUUCGCAGGGGCGAAAACCUGGCUGAGCAACGUCUAUACCUGUGAUCCGAAGCGUAGGGGCUCUCUCUUGUUGCUGUGCAAACUUCUGAAUCAUUAAUGGCCACUGAAAGCCAUAGCCGAUGCCAAAAUCAAUGAUGUGCACCCUUGGUUGCCCUUUGGAGACAUCAAGAAUAGCUUGGCUCGCAAAGUAGUAUGACGUCCUGACAAAAGGGCAAGCUGCAACAAAAAGGCUGUAAGCCUCUAACCAAUCCGUGGGACUUGUUAGCCUCUCGAUGAGGGUGCGAUAAACCUGAUUCCCGCUCCCAGCCAAGCGUGCCUCAAGGCCGUCCGCCAAGUAAAAUGCCAGUCUCUGAGUGCAAUCACCAUCUGCUGAAGAGUGUUGUCUUAUCUUUAAUAGCAGUUCACUGGCCAACAGGUAGCUGCCUUCUGCCACAGCUUGUGCGCAAUGGAUGAGGAGAGUCCUGAGAUCAACCAACUCUUUCCUCGGUUGCAUCCUAGCCCUUAGCUUCUGACGGCCUUUGCUCCGGCCUUUCAGUGGGUUCUUGUUUCCUGUCUCUGCCAUCCUUUCUCGCAGUCUUGUUAUUUGAUCAAAACUCUUCCAACCAUAGCAUAGCAGAAAUCGGUCGAAAUUUUCGUUUCGAGUUAUUGCACAAGUGGUGAAGACAAGAUGUUUAUUGCUCCUUGCUUCCAAGAUAUCCCAGUUUUCGCUCCUCUGUCCUACCGUCUCCUUUAUAGUCAGUUUGGAAAUAGAAAGUAUGUCAUUCUCUAAAUAUAUCACCAGCUUACCAAUACGCGGAGCAAACAUCGUUGCCUCCUCGACAUCUCUCUGACAAUGGAAGGCAGGGAAACCAGAUCUAGAAGUCGGUCCAACACUUAUCAACGGACUAUUUUGUAGAGAAAGACUCCUAUUGCAGGUAUAUGGACUCAACAGGUUUGUCAAGGGCUGUAACACGCUGUAACUGGAACAGUUAUUACUGAAGCUUGUGCUCCAGAGCCUCUUGUAACAGCUGGUACCACUCUUAUCAGGGUUGUCUGGUUUGUUGUUGCUAUGCAUUGGCGGAUAGUUAGUAGCCGGCGCGUAUACCUCCCCAAGAAUGUCACGGAAUGGCUUCUCAGCAGCCUGGAGAGCAGCCUCCCCUUGGCAUCUGUUGACCCUCUCGUCGACCUCUUCCAUCAGCAUCUGUCUUAUGUAGUGAAGGGCAUCAUUUGAUCUGAUCCGGCGGUGCUCAGGGCUACCGCCUGCAGCAAUCUGAAAUUGGUCUUGUCCAUGGUUGCUGUUGACACUUGCUUGGUUGGCUGGGGAGAGAGCUGUGGAGUGUGGACCACUCAGGUCGUGGUUGUACACGGUAAGUUGUUGCUGGGAAGAGAAAUCACCCUUGUAUGAUUGGUUGGUUGCUACGACAGUCUUCAGAUUGUCACAGGGAGGUUCAGUUGCCAUUGUGGAAAGUCUGAUUUCCACCUCAAUAUGAGAUAUAUGAUGCUUCUUUGUCCCACAGCAAAUGAAUCAGCUUCUUUCCUGGACGAAGAAACAGGGAAAUGGAAACUAAAUUAUGUGAGACGAAUCACCUUGCUCAUGUCCUAUGUGAGACGAAUUAUGUGAGCAAGUAGCAAAAGUAGGGAAGCACACACCUUGGUUAUUAAGCAGGAGCAGCAGCAGCAGCAGCAUCAACAUCAGAUCCAAUGCUUAGAGAGAAGAGUAGCGAGGAUGUGGACUAUGAAAGAAGAGUAGUGAGGUUGUGGUGUUGAUGUGAGCUAAAAUUGUCGUUUCUCUACCUUAUGGCUUAGUUCCCAAUGUCAUGAGAUUGUGACGGAGAAUGGUUCAGAUUACAAGCAAUUAUUCUGUCGAUUAGUUCUAGGCCCGGCCGUGCACCAGACCUAUAAAAAGGGUUUAUUAGGAGCUGGCCUGGGUUUCAGUCAUUAUUAAGGUUCCUAAUUGUAUUGUUAAAAAAAGGAGAUGCAUAAUGAAAAUAGCACUUAGCUGGUAUUCAAGGAAAAAAGAAGGCACUAUUCAAUGAAAUUUGACAUAAAAAUGUCUUACACACACUGUGUUUUGGGACGGAGGGAGCAUCAUGGAAGUGGGUGUGGUUCUUUUGUUUUCUUUGAGGGGGAGGCGGGUCUAAUUUUUCAUGAGUGAGUUCUGGCGUGACCAGGUGGGCCUAACGUGACACGUCCCAGGGCCCAGGGCCCAGUCAUUAUUAACGUGUUGAAAGUUGUCUUAGUUGGAGGUCAGAAAAUGGAAGUUGCUUAUUUUAGUUGAAAUGUUAGAAUAUUUGCAGAAAUGAAACAUUGGGGAGGAAACGCACCUGCACGAAAUGAAAAAAAAAUACUGAUUUGAAAAUUACUAGGUGGAAAAUGUGUUGAAAGUUUUCUCAGAUGGGUCUACAAAAAUACAAGUUGACUAUAUUCUUUGAAAUUUGAGAAUAUUUCCAAAUAGGGAUGAAAAGUACUUGCCCCUAAAAAAUCUAAACAUUGGGAAUGAAAUGUUGGGGAGAAAAGAAAUACUGGGUGAAUUUUUUGUUGAAAGUUGUCUUAGUUGGAAGUCAAAAAAUGAGAAUUGUAUAAAUUUUGGUUGAAAUUUGAGAAUGUUUCCUUAAAGGAUUAGGGACGAAAGGUACCUGCCUAGAAAAACGAAAUAUUAGGGUGAAAAGAAAUAGUAGGUGGAAAUGGUAUUGAAAGUUUUCUAAGGUGGAUGACGAAUAAUAGAAGUUGUCUACAUUUUGAAUUGAGUUAAAUUCGUAUGUGAAAAUAGUUUCUAAUGAUAUAUAUUUUUAUAGCUACCAACAUCUCAUAUACUCCCUCUCUUCCAGUUUAUUGGGCUCAUCUUAGACCUACUUAGGUGCCAAACAACAUAUUAACACUACUAGUAGGAGGGACGUGCACUGCACGUGGUGUCCUGGUCGAACUGCAGGUAAGAUAUCUGUUGCUUCAUAAAAAAAAUCUCUGUUUACACGAUAGGUACUACAAAGUCAGCCACAUACGAUCUUGAAUGAGAAAACUUCUAGUCACCAUCACGUGAGGAUGCAAGGUGUGCGCAGUAGCCGUGCAGUGUCUCCUAUUGGUCCAGAAAAAUCCCGUCCACCUCGUUUUGGCGGGCUACUGGAUGGAGCGAAUCCCAGUGACUACAGUCGUUGGAUCACUCGAGUUUGCUAUGAUAAACGAUAGGGAUCCACUCCAUAGAAGAAAUCAACGGCUAAGAAGUGCCUCUCAUCAGGAUGGAUGGCUAAUCCCAAAUUCAAAAUUUAUUGUACUAUAGUAGUAGAGAUAUGCAUGGCCCUCUCACUCCUUCAUGCAUUGGUUUAUUCUAAAUUGAGAAUAAAAAUUUGACAAAAAUUAAUGUGGAUACAAUUAUAUUUGCAUGUUCCAAAGACAAUGAGCCUUACAAUUUGACUUUUUUGUUCAUGGAGUAUUAUUAAUUUUAUCAAUUAGCAAAGCCAACCUCGAAGAACGUACUAGGUGCUAUAUACUUGGAUGGAUGAGAGUCUAAACUUAAACACUUGCCAUGCAAUUCAAAUGUGCCUUUGAGAUUUUAGAAUUUUACUGGGUUGAGGCACAAGAUUUAAUGGAUGGAGGCCCGUAAAAUCUAACCCGAUUAAGGGAUAGAUCAGUAGGGACAUCUUCAUUCAUACUCGCUCUGUCCCAUAAUAUAGUGCGCAACGCAUAUUGGUUUUCAUGAAAGUCAAAGGUCAUAAAUUUUGACAAAAUUUAUAGAGAAAUUGAUCUUUCUUCGGUAAAGGGUGGAUUUUAAAUCAAAAUUCAAAACAUUGGUAAAGGUAAAAAUAACAAAUUCAACACUGAAUAGUAGAUGCCAUAAGUUGGGCUUUAGAUUUGGCCCAUUAUCACAUUGAUGUCAAAUUUAUCAUUUUUGUAUCUCAUGCAACGUUUCGAAUUUUCAUAUGAUAUUUUAUGACAACAUAUAUUAAUAUUGUGUCAAUGUAGAUUGUUUUCAGAUUUUUAAAGAUAUUUUAAUAUGCGCUACGGCGUCCGGGUGCACCGGUGCAGAAGAUACAUUCCGGGAGAAGGGUCUUAUUUUUCUGGAACUAGUGCAAUAUUUGUGUGUUAAUCAUGUGAUUAGUGCAAUAUUUGGUAUGAUAUUAAUUACAUGUUAAACACGUUUAACGCUCGUCAUUGGAGCAGUCUAGGUCGUUGGAUUGACUUAGUUCGAUGGCCGAGAUCAGUUGGAUCUGCCCCUUUGGAUUUUUUUUAUAUUGGUAUAUAGAUAUAGAUAUAGAUAUAGAUGAAUUCUGGCGUGAUCAGGUGGGCCUAACGUGACACGGCCCAGGACCCAGGCCCCAGGCCCAGUUAAAACAAGAACCAGGGUGCGUAAACGCUCUCUUCUAUCCUCCACGACCUCUCCAUGGCCACCAAGAGGAAGCCCGGCAGGUCGGCGACGGCGGCGACGCGGAGGGCCUAUUCUCCUCGCGCUCCUUUGCCGACCCCACACUCUGCAAGGUCCCUCCGACACCCCCCCCCCCNNNNNNNNNNNNNNNNNNNNNNNNNNNNNNNNNNNNNNNNNNNNNNNNNNNNNNNNNNNNNNNNNNNNNNNNNNNNNNNNNNNNNNNNNNNNNNNNNNNNNNNNNNNNNNNNNNNNNNNNNNNNNNNNNNNNNNNNNNNNNNNNNNNNNNNNNNNNNNNNNNNNNNNNNNNNNNNNNNNNNNNNNNNNNNNNNNNNNNNNNNNNNNNNNNNNNNNNNNNUCUAUGGCCCUGGUGGUUUCGCUCUCUGAACGGAACUCGUCCCCUAAUGUCGUCCCCAUCUUUUUCGAGAAAAAAACGAUGUGUAUGAUUUUCAAAUUUCCAAUCUGAAUUAUCAGAAUGGCAUUCGUAGUUUUAGUAGCAGAACUUUGCCAGAAGACAUGUCCAAAACGUCACCCACAUAGCUGUGAUAUGGAGACAGUAAUAAUAUGUGAACAUUACUGCAUUCUGUUGGAUUCGUGCAUAGGAACCUUGUUUAUGUUACUCCCUCCGAUCCAUAUUAAUUGUCGCUGCUUGAUUUUGUACUAGAGCAGCGACACGGAGGGAGUAAUUGCAAUUGCCGUCUCAAAUCAGAAAUGACAAUCAGUAUCGCCAGUUUUGAGAGAGAGGCAGUACAAUAAUAAUCUACUAUGUACUUUACAGCAAAAUCCAGUGUCUAGGUGUGGUAUUUCCACUAAUCUCAUCAUGUCUAGUGUGUUCAAGAAUUAAAUAGAACGACAGAGGCAAAGUAUUGUACAGUUGCAUUUUGCUGCAUAUGGUCGUGUAGUUACCAAGGUGCUGAAUGUCAACAUUCAAAUCACCAUCCCACCUUCUUCCAAGAUGGAACUUCCCAAUGCUCAUCAGACAAAAGAAUAUCUUACGCUGUUCAGCAAUUUAGACCGAUUGCGUUGAGAAUCACGCCAGUAGCUGAAGAGGCGGUAAGUUGCCGAGAUGUUUGUGCACUUGAAAAAUUGUUCGAAUCUUACUGGUCCCCAUAUGUUUCAUUAGGUUUCCAUUUAGAUAUAGCAUAAAGUACUCUCCCCUUCCAUCCUUGUAGCAGCCAGCCACAAUCUUCAACAGCAAAGAAUUCUUCAUGAUAAUGUAAGUUCUUCCUGUGUACUAUGUUCUUUAAGAUGGCUUGAUCGACAGGAAGCUGCUGGAACCCAGCCUUGAGGCACCUUGCUUGCCACUGCCUGUAAAUUUCUGGCCUCUGAGUUCUUUCUGCACCCUCACAUGCUAUGAUGUUAAGAGCAUCCUGCCCAAAUAGGAUCCUCUCAACCAUCUUUCUUGCUUCGUUAUCCCGUGGAACAUUUGCGUCAAGCAUGUCAAACAGUGAAGAGUAAUGGAGCAUAACCUCUUUGAAACGUUGUAUGAAGAAGGGAGAACUGAGUAACCCAUUCACGGUGCCAGAAAUAAAAAUCUUCGGGUUCAUCCUCCUCAUAGUUUUGAGCACCUUAUCCCUUGCACCAUUUACGGCAUCGGUUUCAUGACCGAGAUUCUUCAUCCGGAACAUGCAGUUCACUAUGAGAACUUCAUCCUCGUCAAUGUUAAGAUCCUCAAUUUUGAUAGUCUCCCAUCUUGAAGCGGCAAUGCCCUGAUACUGGAAAGGUACCUUGAACCUAUUUGUGUAAUCAGCCAACCGCUUCCUUGUCUCCUCGAUCAUUUCGCAGGGGUAGAAACCUGGCUGGGGAACGUCUAUACCUGUGAUCCGAAGCUUAGGGGCUCCCUCUUCUUGCUGUGCAAGUCUCUGAAUCAUUAAUGGCCACUGAAAGCCGAAGCCGAUGCCGAAAUCAACGAUGUGUACCCUUGGUUUCCCUUGUGAGACAUCAAGAAUAGCUUGGGUGGCAAAGUAGUAUAACGCCCUCCCAAAAGGGAAAGCUGGAAGAAAAAGGCUAUAAGCCUCUAACCAAUCUGCUGUACUUGUUCGCCUUUCCACGAGAUUGCGAUAAACCUGACUCCCGAUCCUAGCCAAGCGUGCCUUGAGGCCAUCCGCCAAGUAAAAUGCCAGUCUCUGAGUACAAUCAGCAUCUGCUGAAGAGUGUUGUCUUAUCUUUAAUAGCAGUUCACUGGCCAACAGGUAGCUGUCUUCUGCCACAGCUUGUGCGCAGUGGGUGAGGAGAGUCCGGAGAUCAACCAACUCUUUCCUCGGUUGCUUCCUACUUCUGCUCUGGCCUUUCAGUGAGGUCUUGUUUCCUUCCCCCGCCAUCCUUUCUUGCAGUCUUGUUAUUCGGUCAGAAUGACCAUAGCAUAGCACAACUUGGUCAAAACUUUCAUUUCGAAUUAUUGCACAAGUGGUGAUGGCAUGAUGUUCAUUGUUCCUUCCUUGAAAGAUAGCCCAACCCCUUGGGUCUGCCACCUCAAAAAUUGUGUUUUCGGUCCUCUCUCUUACUUUUUCCUUCGUAGUCAGUUGGGAAAUAUAAAGUAUGUUAUUCUUUGAAUAUAUCACCAGCUUAUCAAUACUUGGAGCAAACAUUCUUUCCUCCCUGACACCUCUCUGGCCAUGCAAGGCAGGGAGGCCAGAUCCGGAAGUCAAUCCGACACUUAUCGAUGACUGGUUUGGUAUAAAAGGACUCCUAUUGCAGAUAUAUGGACUCAACGGGGUUGCUAAAGGCUGUAACACGUUGUAACUGGAAUAGUCAUUACUGAAGCUAGUGUUCCAGAGCCUCUUGUAACGAUUGGUCCCACUCUUAUCAGGGUUGUCUGGUAUGUUUUUGCUAUGCAAUGGCGGCCAGUUAGUAGGCGGCGCGUAUCCCUCCCCAAGAAUGUCACGGAAUGGCUUCUCAGCAGCCUGAAGAGCAGCCCCUUGGCAUAUGCCGACCCCCUCGUCAACGUCUUCCAUCAGCAUCUGGCUUAUGUAGUGAAGAGCAUUGUUUGAUCUGAUUCGGUGGCGCUCAAGGCUACCCCCUGCAGCAAUCUGAAAUUUGUUUUGUCCAUGGCUGCUGUUGACACUUACUUGGUUGGCUGGGGAGAGAACUGUUGAGUGUGGACCACUCAGGUCGUAGUUGUGCACGGUGAGUUGCUGCUGGGAAGAGGAAUCACCAUCGUAUGGUUGGUCGGUUACUGCGAUGCCAUCCAGAUUGUCACGGAGAGGUUCAAUUGCCAUUCUGGAAAGUCUGAUUUCCACAUCAAUAUGAGAUAUAUGGUUAUUGUUGUCCAACAGCAAAUGAACCGGCUUGUUUCCUGGAAGAAGAAAAAAGGGAAAUAGAAGCUAAAUUAUGUGAGAUGAAUUUUGGUUCACCUUGCUCAUGUGCUACCAUCUAGAAUGCCCGUAAAACAGAGUUCUGCUUCUUCCUUUUUAUUUGAGAUUCAGCUUAUUAUUGUUUUGGCAUGCCUUUCUGAUCGAAAACAAAUUCCAAAGGCUUGCAGACACGAGAAUGAGCCGGUUAAACGUAGAAUCUAUGAUGCGCCUAAUACCACUGUUCCUUUUUAUUUGCAGGAGGCUCCUCAUCUGAUCUGAGCAAAGAGGCAAAGUAGGGAAGCACACACCUUGGUUAUUAAGCAGCAGCAGCAACAGAUCCAAUGCUUUGAGAGAGGAGUAGUGAGGGUGUGGACUAUGAAAGAUGAGUAGCGAGGUUGCGGUGUUGAUGUGAAGUAAAUUUGUCGUUCCUCUACCUUAUAGCUUUGUUCCCAACGUCAUAAGAUUGUGACAGAGAAUGGUCCAGAUUACAAGCAAUUACCCUGUCGAUUAGUCCUAGGCCCGGCCGCGCAUCAGACCUAUAAAAAAGGGUUUAUUAGGAGCGCUGGCAUGGGUUUUCAAUCAUUAUUAAGGUUCCUAAUUAAAUCGUUAAAGAAUCCAAGGUAAUCAAAAAAAGGAGAUGCACUAUUCAAAUAUUUUUUCUUUCUUUUCUUUUCCACUUGAUAAUUGAUAUAUAUAUAAUGGUAUUGGUUGAGUCUUUUUAGAGGAUAAUUUGUUGUACUUUAUCUUAUUAAAAUAAUUAGAUUUUUUU